rnacentral:tRNA from 1 species
GCGGGAGUAGCUCAGUUGGUAGAGCGCUAGCCUUCCAAGCUGGAUGUCGCG